GUCCCCAUAGCUCAGCAGGAUAGAGCAACUGCCUCCUAAGCAGUAGGUCGGACGUUCGAAUCGUCUUGGGGACGCCA
rnacentral:tRNA from 1 species